rnacentral:tRNA from 1 species
GGGCUCGUAGCUCACCCGGUAGAGCACCCUCCUUGCAAACGGGAGGUGGUCGGUUCGAGUCCGACCGGGUCCA